rnacentral:rRNA from 1 species
AUGGCUCAGGAUGAACGCUGGCGGCGUGCUUAACACAUGCAAGUCGAACGGGCUUAGAUCGGAAGCUUGCUUUGAUUAAGUUAGUGGCGGACGGGUGAGUAACGCGUGGGUAACCUACCCUGUGCAGGGGGAUAGCAGCUGGAAACGGCUGAUAAAACCGCAUAACACGGCGAUGCCGCAUGGCAAUGCCGUCAAAAUAUUUAUAGGCACAGGAUGGGCCCGCGUCUGAUUAGCUAGUUGGCGGGGCAACGGCCCACCAAGGCGACGAUCAGUAGCCGGCCUGAGAGGGUGAACGGCCACAUUGGGACUGAGACACGGCCCAAACUCCUACGGGAGGCAGCAGUGGGGAAUAUUGGACAAUGGGGGAAACCCUGAUCCAGCCGACGCCGCGUGAGUGAAGAAGUUAUUUCGGUAUGUAAAGCUCUAUCAGCAGGGAAGAUGAUGACGGUACCUGACUAAGAAGCACCGGCUAAAUACGUGCCAGCCGCCGC